rnacentral:ncRNA from 1 species
CCCUGUUGAGCUUGACUCUAGUUUGACAUUGUGGAAAAGACAUAUGGGGUGUAGAAUAGGUGGGAGCUUCGGCGCCAGUGAAAUACCACUACCUUUAUCGUUUUUUUACUUAUUCAAUGAAGCGGAACUGGGCUUCACCGCCCAACUUCUGGCGUUAAGGUCCUUCGCGGGCCGAUCCGGGUUGAAGACAUUGUCAGGUGGGGAGUUUGGCU